GUGGGGAAUAUUGGGCAAUGGGCGAAAGCCUGACCCAGCAACGCCGCGUGAAGGAAGAAGGUUUUCGGAUCGUAAACUUCUAUCCUUGGUGAAGAUAAUGACGGUAGCCAAGAAGGAAGCCCCGGCUAACUACGUGCCAGCAGCCGCGGUAAUACGUAGGGGGCAAGCGUUGUCCGGAAUGAUUGGGCGUAAAGGGCGCGUAGGCGGCCCGGUAAGUCUGAAGUGAAAGUCCUGCUUUUAAGGUGGGAAUUGCUUUGGAUACUGUCGGGCUUGAGGGCAGGAGAGGUAAGCAGAAUUCCCGGUGUAGCGGUGAAAUGCGUAGAGAUCGGGAGGAACACCAGUGGCGAAGGCGGCUUACUGGACUGUAACUGACGCUGAGGCGCGAAAGUGUGGGGAGCAAACAGGAUUAGAAACCCUGGUAGUCC
rnacentral:rRNA from 1 species